AUGGGCCACAUCUCUCCCCCACCCCCCUCUCCCCGGGUUAUCACUGCCCGGAACCGCGGGGAGAACCUGUCUCAAUGUCUCCACGACUACAUUCAUGUAUAGCCGCCAGCCUUCUCCCUCCUGUAUGGACUAUCACGUAUUCAAUUUCUAGCAGUAACCUACCAACCCUCUCCACUCUGGGAUGUGGGACGAAACCGAAGCGCCCAGAGGAAAUCUAUACAGUCACAGGGAGAAUGUGCAAACUCCACACAGACAGCACCGAUGAUCAGGAUUGAACCCGUGUCUCUGGAGUGGUGAGGGAACAACUUUACCAGCUGCACCACUGUGCUGCUGACAUCUUCAUUGAAGAGAUUGCCAAACGAUAUCAACUACACUGAGUACAGAAAGCUGAAUAUGUCUGUUCUGUUGGUACACAAAAAUGCUGGAGAAACGCAGCGGGUGCAGCAGCAUCUAUGGAGCAAAGUAAAUAGGCAACGUUUCGGGCCGAAACCCUUCUUCAGACUUCAAGAUUUCCAGAAUCUGCGGUGAAUGGUUGUUUUCGAUGUUAUUGUCUUCUUUGUCCUCUGAAAGAGAUGUAAAAGAACGCCCUGCAUCAUUCACGGAAGGACUGGGAUUUGCCUCUGAACAUGGGGAACAUUUUUCAGCUAAUACCAUCCCCUCAGAUUAUUAUUCAUCAUGACCAGUUUGCAGGAUAUUGGUGUACGUUUACACAGUACGACAUUGACAACCCCCCAAAAUGGCUCAAAACCACUUUGAAACAACCCAGUGUUGUGAAGUGGGCGUUGCUUCCAGUGGUUUGGUCGAAGGUGCUCACUUAUGUAAAGUCCCAGUGAUGCAGAGCUACUGAGGCUACAUUUCCACUGGAACUACAUGAAAUCAACAGCAAUGGCCAGUGCUUCAAGGCAUAGGGUUUUGUUUAACGAACAUUUGGAUACAAUUGAAGCAAUCUAAGACGUUGGAUUCGGAUGUAAUUGCUUCAGGUGACUGUGGCGGAGAAAUGUAUUUCGGUCACUGACAUGGGUUUCCAAGAAGAUUACAAUGCACUGCUGCUCCCAAAAUAACUUCUAUCACUAGAGGCCAAGGACAGAUUUAUAUUUUCAACACUUUUAUCGCAGAUCAUUUAUAUGAUAAAUUUGGACCUGCAUUAUCAUUUCCAUCGUACAAAGUAUGUCAUGCUAUUUAUUUCAACACAGCCUAAGGCAUUCAUUUGUCUAUCCCCUUGCCAAUACUUCAAAUACACCUGUUAAAAAUAAACCCAACACACCUUCUCAAAAUAUUCCAUUAAAAUAAAAAUGCCAUUAA